rnacentral:lncRNA from 1 species
GUCGUAAUCGAUCCCCUGUGUGCAUAACCGCGUGAAUUUGACAUUCGUGUAUGUAGAUUUGCUGUAAUCUUUCGCUAUUCGAAAUUCUCCCUGUGUUAUAUUAAUUAAUAUCAAAGCUUCGCACCAAUCUAUUUCGCAUCGUUCUUCUGCCGUGGUAUUAUUCGUAGGUGUGUACAUAUGUAUGUGCUUGCAAAAGGAACUCAAUUUGAAAGAAGGAAGAAGCCUGGAAGACAUCGGAAUAAUCCUGAGCUUAACGUAAUUUCAACGUAGACACAAAUCCGUCGCUACACAUCGUCUCUUUCGAUCUUCGUGGGAGGCUGUGCAGCGCGUAAAGAUAAACAUCCAUACGCAAGAAUAACAUCUUCCAGAUCCCUCUAAUCACAACACUCGAAGGAUACCCCGUACAUAAGCGAAGAACACGGGUAUGAAAACACUUUUGAUAGAGCCAUCGGAAAAAUGAGAGAGCAGCCUGGCAAUUCAUCAAGGUCAUUAUUCGCGAUAACAGAGAAAACUGUAUCGCGCAUAUAACAAUCGGUAAACGCAGCACGCUGGAAAAUGUAUAUUAAAAAAAAGAGAGAGAAAGGAGUGAGGCAACCUUGAUCGACUCUCACGUGCAGCAAAAUUUACAUGGACGUGGAGAUGGAGGGUCCCGGAGGUUCAAUUACGAGAUUGCCAAUAUGCAAGCGACAUGGCGGUGGCGGCCAUCGCUUCGGCUGAUGAGGCUAAUGGAUGGUUGAAACCUGAGAAGAACGGCAAAGAGGAAAAAGAGGCCAAGGGAGAGGCCCCUGACAGCCACUAAGUGCGCUCCGUCCUUCUCCACCCUUCCCCAAUCCCCCUCCCUCCCACUUCCAUUCCCGUCCCUUCGGUCCCAGCCCUGUGUUCUCUCUCGCCUCUGCAACACUCUGCCCGCUGCGCGGAUGCCCUUAUGUGAAACCUAAUCACUUUUAGCGCGUCACGGAUAUUUCGUAUUAUGUCUACAUUGCGUUCUCCGGUAUCGGCCGACUUUAUCAGCCGUCUCUCUAUGGUUCGAUCCUCUCCCCUCGUCGCCCCUUGUGCCCAUCCUUCACGGAGUCGAGUCGCGCGUGCAGCAAGCCCUAAUCGGUUGAUGCGUUUCUCAAGAAUAGAUCGUGGAGCCAAUUUUUUUCGAGAAGCAUCGAAAAACGCUUGUGAUCUCUUUAAUUUCAAAUGUUUUUUAUAAAAAAUAAAUAUAAGGCUCAUUAAAUGUUUCUUAAAUGCUUUUAUCCAUAGAAAAUGUUUAGAGCACUGUUAGAGAAUAAAAUAUGUAUAAUAAUAAUAUGAUACUUAUUUUAUAUUUGCUCGUCUUUGAUCGUUUUUUUAUUAUAUUUUUUUAACAAUGUGAUUGUAUAUAUAUUCAAGUAUUAUAUUUUCACAUUUAGUUUUAUAUUCAUCACAAUGCUGUUAGUAAUGAUAUGUAUGAUCAAAAAUUAAACUCUAUAAUGCAUGAUUAUAAGUUUGGAGUUGUAACUUGUCAAUGCAAGAGAGAUACAAAUUGUAUUGGAUAAUGCAACAUCUUUCCUUCUAUGUUGUUAAUCAAUACGCAUAUACGAAAGUAUGUAAUAAUAACAUAUUUACAUAUUUGUACUAAUGUAUACUAUUCAUAACGCGUAUCGCAAUUUCGUGUCAUCAAAACAACAUAUUAUUAUUUAAUAAUGAAAAUUAAUCAAUUUUACGAUUAUUGUCCAUUUUUUAGCAACUGAAAAAAUAUGGUAUAAAAAAACAAAAAUAGUUUAAUAUUAAAAUUGUUGAAAUUGCUUUUAACUCGGCAAAUUAUUUUAAUUUUUAAAAAAGUUGUAUUAUACAGAAUAUUUUUAAAGUAUAUGAAUUUAUUUGAAUUUAAGAUACAUAAUAUAAAUUAUUCUAAUAAUAUAAGAUUAUCAAAUUGACAAUUUUAGUGCUAAAUCAAUGUAAGAUUAAUUUAAAUAAAAUAAAUUUUGUAAAGUGUUUUC